UCCCUCCAAAGAGAGGUCUGUGUGAAAGGCCUAAAGACUUGCAGGCCCAUAAUAAAGUUGUCUUGUUAAACCAGUAUUACAACUGGUGGCAGUGGCUUUGAGAUGACAGAAGCCCGAGGAAACUUACUGGUCCUGCAGAUGGGCCUACGAUCAGUGAGUGCUUGAUGGAUUUUGACCUCUUUGUGUUUGUAAAUGAGUGGACUGACCAGAAGCUGCACAGUACCUUGCGGUUUUUCUGGAAGUUGAUGUCAAAGCAUACUACCUGCAGCUGCCAAGUACAGAUUGGGGCUCUUAUUGGCAACUCUGUGAGCACUUGAAGGGCCAUUAUGAAUGAGCCUUAGCCCUUUUGCGAUAUCGGAGGCAAUGGCAAGCUAGGAGGAGGCUGGAAGGGGAACCUCUGAAUGCAUAUCUAUGUGGAGGCUCUUUGAUAGAGCUUUUCCUGCUCCUCUGUGCCCAGGGAGGACACCACUGAGGCUGUUCUGGCUCAGCCAAAAGUGGAACUUGCUGUGCAGAGAGGGGCCUAUGCCCAGUGGAAAGCUGUGGAGGAACGAGACCUAAACCUCUUAUUUGUGUAAAUAAGACUUUGUAUUGUAAAUUGCUUUGCUACUCAAUGUAUUAAGAAAGCUGUGCAAGGGUCAAAGGUUCAUGGCUUCUGUUCAGCAGUUUUGAGGGUGAUGAAAUGUACGGGUUUGAUUUGGGAGGGAAAUGGAGGUUUGAUUUUAUUGGUCAUGGUUUGAAAAAUGGAGAGCUGGAAAUCUCCUAGAGUUUGAUUUCUGGCUGGCUGGAAGUGUUUCUGUCUUUGACAAAGAAGAAGCCUGAGUGGGGGAAUUCUUCUAAGUGAGAGCCCCAGCUUGUGGGAGGACUCAAAUCCCUGAGCUGAGUCAGUUUGACUGCUGGUGUUGAGGAAAGAGGAAGCUGCAUUCCUGAGGCAGUUGUCUGCUGGUCUUGAAGAGGGAGGAAGCAACAAGCUUGUAUUUCUCUCCUAAAGAAGAUAUCAAGCAAGGGAAAACAGCAAGGAAAUAAAAUAAAUAAAUAGAUCACCAAGAAAACAAGAGGGGAAGGAGAAGCUAGGGCUGGAAAUCUCCUAGGGUUUGAUUUCUGGCUGGCUGGAAGUGUUUGUGUCUGUGACAGAGGAGAAGCCUAAGGGGGAUUCAUUCCAGGGGAGGGCCUCAGCUUGUGGGAGGCCUCACAUUCCUGAGCUGAGUCGGUUUGACUGCUGGUGUUGAAUACAAGGCUCGGACCAGAGGAGCUUUGUUCCCAGGAGCUUUCCUAGCAGUAGUUUGCAAACAGAUAACGAAGGAGUUUAGCAGGAGAUUGGCGGAGAAAUCUGUGGGGAGGCACACAAGUAGUGUCCCUUCAUCACAGGGGAGACACCAAAUGCAAGAAUAAGGACCUGAUCCAUGGAUAUUUUGAGAGAAUAGAUGAAUCCGCUGCGGUGGGUCAGUGCCUCCCUCUUGAGCCUAUUGCAGCUGUUGGGGAAGUAGCGGGGAAGACACCUAUGCCUGCUCAAGGGGGCCUUGUCUUUGAGGAAGAACUGCUGGGAGCUUUUUGUAACCCUGAACCAGGGCCACUAGAAAAUGACAACAUACCUGUAUCAGAAAGUGCUGAACCACUCUGCCCGAACUGCUCUGACUCAGCUAUCAGUGAUAUAUGUCCAUCCUCAGAAUACAGAACUCAGGUGGGCAGGAAGAUACAAAAGCCAUUUGGCUAGCUGACUAUGAACGUUCUUAAUUUGUGAGGUGCUUGCUUUAAGAGAGGAAGUUGGUAAUGAUUAUAUACUGUAAGUACCGCCAUCGACCAAUAGGUGGUGCUCUUCCAUGCUUUACUAUUUACUAUUACUAUUAACCUUACUAUUUACUAAGGUUCUGCAUCUUGUCUUAGCUGCUCUGUUCUAUUGUUCUUAGCCUGAGAGAGUGAUCCCUCCAAAGAGAACUCUGUAUGAAGGGCCUGAAGACUUGCAGGCCCAUAAUAAUGUUCUCCUUUUAAAUCAGUAUUACAGUAGUUUGGUAUGGUCUUUAAUUGCGUAAAGAUGUAAACCUUGGUUCUUAGUUGAAUAUCGGAAGGCUUAUAAAACUAAAAUAAAAAUUCCAGUUAGUAUGCUUGCAUAUACCUAUUAGGUGAUGUGUGUGGCCCAAAAUGUUGGAUUCUGACCUGACCUGACUAGGGUUGCCAACCAUCCCGGUCUAUGUGGGACACCCUGCAUUUUCAGGAGGAAAUGUUUGUUCCAUCUGGAACCACAUUUACCCCACAUUUUGGUGGUGGGCGGGGCAGCAGUGGCCACCUUGGGCUGCUCCCUCCUCCUUCUCCCAGCCAGGACAGCAGCACACUGCCAGUAGCAGCACUGCCGCCGCUGCCACCAGCCACCUCCAGAUCAACUCCCUCCUCCUCGCAUGGACACACAGCCAGCAGCAGCGCCACGCCACGAGAGUCCCUCUCGGACUGGAGUUGGAGCCGGCAGCUGGAGGAGGAGCCUCAGCAGAAGCCUAUUCUGCCUGGCCAGCAGCCAGCCAGCAGUGCCACUGCCACCUCCUGCUCCACCUGAGCGCCUCCGUGGAGUUGCCGUGGCGAUGGCUUCUGGCCCCACUGAUUGGCAGGGUUGUGUCUCUGAGGUGAUGGGAAGGAGAAGGCUGGCUUGAGAAAGGAGGGUCGGGAUGACCUCCAGAGGGAGUGCAGGGAGGGGUCUGGGGGUGGCUGGCUGUGUGCCGUGGGGCCAUGGGAAGGUGCCUGGCUGCUCCCAACAGCAGUGUUGGGAUGGGCUUGUAAGUGCCUGUGCUAGAAUUGCUGAGGCCACCCCAGGGAGUCUGCACAAGAGUUGAAACGAGAGAAAGAAGUUUGUCUUCAGUCAGUCUUUGUGCCCCUUCAGUCAGAAUGCUGUCAGGAAGGAUGCAGCAUUUCUAAAGCGCUUGAGAUGCUUUACAAGUCAUUAUUUGAAUAAUUUUUCCCUGCUAGAUCAGCUCAAAGCUCCAGCUGACUUUGCAAGCUGCCUCUCAAGAGUGAUCUGGCCAGCUGAAUCCUGGGAAGCUCCCAUGCAGGGUAGGAUGGAUGAUGAAACUGAGCCAUCCCAUGAUUCUCUUUAAUAUGUACAUAGCGGUUCAAUGAUUAUAUAGGUAGGCAAUGAGCAGCAGCGUGUGCCAUGGUGGUCUCUGCUCGGUCACCUUCCAGCCCUCCUUCCAGGACAGGUGUGCAGUCCCUCGGAGGAAGAGCCCUCCCCCCAGGCCCCACCCCUCCCCUAGCCCCCACAAACUUGUGUCCCUCAUUCUGGCGAUGAAACAUUGGCAACCCUAGACCUGACCCAACACUAAGACUGUUGGGAGGAGCUGACAUUGCUCCUCUCAGCUAUGGCUAUUAUCUUUGUUUUCAGUUGUGUGUUGCAGUAUGAUCCUGUAACAAAAACUAUUUUAUUUAUUCUAUUUAUUAAAAUAGCUUUUAUCCCAUUUUUCUUCCCCAAAAUGAGGCAUUCCUGGCGACUCACAAUAAGCACAAUGGUUUGAGCACAACAGUAAACCUUCAAAGGGAAUGAUGAAAUGUGGGACAACCCAGGAUCAACACUCCUCUUGACACAAUGCAGAUAUUGCACAGUAAUUGUGUGCAGUCCUUCAUCUAUAGCGAAGGAAGCAAACCAGUUAAGAGAUUACAGAAGCAGAGCUGGGUUGGGUCUGCCUCUGUUCAAGGUCUGCCUUUGUGUGAAAAAAUUGAACAUCUGGAAAGGCCUUUAGACAUUUGCAUGAGUCAUGAAUUUGAGCAGGAAGUAAACUCUUCUUCCUGGUUCUUUUCUUCAUUAGUAUUAAAAGGACUUGUUAAUGGUUGCACUGCAUACCUUUGCUGUUAUGUUAUAUGACUUUAUAUAGCUUUGUGAGUGUUGUCUAAAAUAAACUGCACUGUACUGAUGUCAACCA